rnacentral:ncRNA from 1 species
AGGAAUAGGCAUGACAGAUUGAACAGAUCCCUUACCAAAGGUUUUUUCCCCUACGAGGACAGCACGAUGAUGAUCUUGCAGGGCUCCAGACACGAUUUCACUUGCCGAUGCUGAACCUCCAUUAAUAAGAACGACAAUAGGCAAUCCAUUGGUAAUAUCUUUCCCCUUGGCAUUCCAUCUUUGAUUAUCCUUAGGAUUGCGUGCUUUGGUUGAAACAAUGGCACCUUCCUUAAUGAAAUCCCGGCUGACAGAAAUAGCCUGAUCAAGUAGCCCGCCUGGAUCAUUACGA